rnacentral:misc_RNA from 1 species
CAGAAACAAGGUAAAAAACUUGAGUCUGUAAGGUCUAAGUCUUCAAAGCAAAUUGGACAAGAUGUAGGCACAGACAUAACACCACCACAGGCCCAAGGGAUGCCUCCACAUCCAAAACGCCGGUCUGUAUUUGGUAAACUAAGUUGCUUCGAUAACGUGGGCAAACUCUGAGGACGAAAGGCAUCAUCAGGCCUCCAUGCUCGGCAAUUCAUUGAAGCCCUCUGCGCAAUUCUCCCACGCUGAACACCCGAGUCACCAUCUCCUACGCCUAACUCAUUUCUGCUGUCUCCACAAGAAUCCAAUUGAGAAACGACAUUGCCUCUAGGGGAAGACUCGGAACAUUGAUCAUGUUGCUUGUCAGUGGCGGCUAGGGCAUCGGCAAUAGCCUCCCAAUCAUCCAAGCAGUCAUCAUC